CCAGACGGUUGGACGGCCGCUGGCGGUGCUUGCAUCGCUGGAGGAAAGUCCGGGCUCCACGGAAAUACGGUGCCGGCUAACAGCCGGCGGGGGCGACCCCAGGGAAAGUGCCACAGAAAACAAACCGCCUAGGGCGUUUGCCUGAGGCAAGGGUGAAACGGUGCGGUAAGAGCGCACCGCAACCCUGGCGACAGGGUUGGCAGGGAAAACCCCACCGGGAGCAAGACCGAAUAGGGGCGGCCGGCGCUGUGCGGCAACGCAUGGGCGCGAAACUAUUUCCGGUUUGCCGCCCGGGUUGGUCGCGUUGAGGCAGGCUGCAAAGUCUGCCCCAGAGGAAUGGCCGUCCAGCGCCCGCGAGGGUGUGGACAGAACCCGGCUUACAGGCCGUCUGGAUAU
rnacentral:RNase_P_RNA from 1 species